CAGGCCUCCCAUGAGUUACUUCAACAGAAAGAAGAGAAUUCAGAUUGUUACCGAAACAUGUAACCAAGAUAAGGAAAAGAAUCAUCAUCUCCAUCGCCACGAUGACCUUCAACACUGUGUCUGAUGCCAUAAGCAAAGUAAAUGAGGAAGCCUUCCAAAAGGAAAAAAAAAAAGUUCAUAGGCUUUUAAGCUUUAAGUUCUCUCUCCCACUCAUUAGAAUCCAUCCAAAGCUGUUAUCAAAGGAUAACAUAGAGAAUAAGUUAUUCACCAUAAAGGCUACUUUCUGCUGGUUCUGAGGCUGUCUUUGGAUGAGGAGAAUGAUA